rnacentral:rRNA from 1 species
GGGGAUAAGUAUAUUAGACGAGAAGACCCCAUGGAGCUUUAAACCCGACAGCACCCACUUAUUUAACACCUUCUUAUCCGCCUGGCCCCUGUCUGCUCGGUUUUGGGUUGGGGUGACCGCGGAGCAUAAAAUAGCCUCCACGAAAGAAGGGAUGAUUCCCUCAUUUUAGAACUACACUUCCAAAGACUAACAAAUUAAUUUUAAGUGAUCCGAUACCCGUAUUCGAUCAACGAACCAAGUUACCCUGGGGAUAACAGCGCAAUCUACCUCAAGAGCCCCUAUCGACAGGUGGGUUUACGACCUCGAUGUUGGAUCAGGGUAUCCCAGUGGUGCAGCAGCUACCAAAGGUUCGUUUGUUCAACGAUUAAAACCCU